GCUGCCGUUGCAGAUCCCAGAGAGGCUUGUUUGUCAGAUCCAGAGGAGUGGAGUGAGGGCCACCAGCAGAACAGAACUUGAAGCGGAGAGAGCGUUUCUCUUACUGUGGAGCCAGGCUCUGGAGGGCCAUCUGGAGUCCGAGUCUAUACCUCACGGGGCAACAGGUGGGGCUUCUUCAGGGCUUUCUCUGGAGCCCGCCUCCACUUGGCCCUGCAACUUCCAAAGUCUUGGUUCCAGCUCCCCAGAUGUUGGAGAAGAGCUCUAAGACAGGCACGCUUUCGCUGAUGUGGUCCAGCUUCCGCAGAUGCCCGCUCUCCAGGAUCUCAACAAUCUUCUCAGCCAUCCGCUUUCCAAUCCCAGGGAUGCCAAAGGCCUCCUAGAGGAAGAGGAGGCAGAGGCAGGAAGGAAAGGCACAAGCUCAGCCAGGCUGACUUCACCAGCUGAGCACCAGCGGGGAGCUGGGGCAGUCUAAGGAGGCGGAGGGCUCGCUCACAGUCCAUGCCUUCAUCCAC